rnacentral:rRNA from 1 species
AGAGUUUGAUCAUGGCUACAGAACGAACGCUGGCGGCGCGUCUUAAACAUGCGAGUCGAACGAUCUGUAGCAAUACAGGGAGUGGCGGACGGGUGAGGAACACGUAGGAAUCUACCUAGAAGAGCGGGACAACCUUGGGAAACCGGGGCUAAUACCGCAUAGUACAGUGAUGUUAAAGGGCUAGCAAUAGUCGCUUCUAGAUGAGCCUGCGGUCUAUCAGCUUGUUGGCGGGGUAACGGCCCACCAAGGCUACGACGGAUAGCCGGUCUGAGAGGAUGAUCGGCCAUACUGGCACUGAGACACGGGCCAGACUCCUACGGGAGGCAGCAGUUAAGAAUCUUGCGCAAUGGACGAAAGUCUGACGCAGCGACGCCGCGUGAAGGAUGAAGGCUUUCGGGUUGUAAACUUCGGUAGACUGGGAAGAAAAAGUAAGUUCGUUGAGGGCUUACAUUGACGGUACCAGUCUGAAGCCCCGGCUAAUUACGUG